GCCCGAAUAGCAGGAACCAUGGUAUUACAUUCAUUUUCCAAUGAAUUCGAAGGUGAUCAUGUACUUAAUGGGGUUUGACAGCCAGCGCGGCGAUUUUGUUUUGCUUACAAAAAUUUCGGUCGGUAUCCAACGUAUCCAACAUUAUUCGAUGAUUUUUUGGCAAAAAUUACCGUCAAGUGUUUGGGUAUGAUCGAAAUGCGAUAUAAUCCCUUCCCCCGGACUGUGAAGAAGUGGAAAGAAAAAUUUCUUAACUCUCCCGUAAUGCGAGUUUCCGAACAUUCCAGCUGGUGGCCAACUAAAAGACGGCAGCAUUCUCGAGGUGUUAAAGUGUAAUUAUUACAAAAAAUAUGAAUAUGUUUAGUUCAAAAAUAAAGAUUAU